UGUGGUUGUACCCCAACAGCAGAAUGGUGUGGUUGUAUAUGUGUCAUUAAAAAUAUUAAUGCGAGUAGAAAGCCUACUUGCCAGCUCCUCAGGAGGUGGGCUUUUCUGUGUUGGAACAGUGUGGUUGUACCCCAACAGCAGAACGGUGUGGUUGUAUAUGUGUUAUUAAAAAUAUUAAUGCGAGUAGAAAGCCUACUUUCCAGCUCCUCAGGAGGUGGGCUUUUCUGUGUUGGAAUGGUGUGGUUGUACCCCAACAGCAGAACGGUGUGGUUGUAUAUGUGUUAUUAAAAAUAUUAAUGCGAGUAGAAAGCCUACUUUCCAGCUCCUCAGGAGGUGGGCUUUUCUGUGUUGGAAUGGUGUGGUUGUACCCCAACAGCAGAACGGUGUGGUUGUAGACAGCCUACUUGCCAGCUCCUCAGGAGGUAGGCUUUUCUGUGUUGGAAUGGUGUGGUUGUACCCCAACAGCAGAACGGUGUGGUUGUAGACAGCCUACUUGCCAGCUCCUCAGGAGGUGGGCUUUUCUGUGUUGGAACGGUGUGGUUGUACCCCAACAGCAGAACGGUGUGGUUGUAGACAGCCUACUUGCCAGCUCCUCAGGAGGUGGGCUUUUCUGUGUUUUUUUUCUCCAAUGUAUUAUUUGGCCACAAAUACGAGUAUAGGACGAGUCAACAACAUUAUUUGUGUACGAGUUAACAUAUUAACAUU